GACGAACGCUGGCGGCGUGCUUAACACAUGCAAGUCGAACGGAAAGGCCCCUUUGUUGGUCCUCGAGUGUUGCACGGGUGAGUAACACGUGCGUAACCUUCCCUUGACUUUGGGAUAACUUCAGCUAACUGGGGCUAAUACUGGAUAGGAAUCCUUGCUGCAUGGGGGGGGUUGGAAAGCUUCGGCGGGUUUUGGUGGACUCGCGGCUUAUCGGCUCGCUGGUGGGGUUGUGGGUUACCAAGGCUUCUUCGGGUAGCCGGCCUGAGGGGGCGACCGGCCACAUAGGGACUGAGGUACGGCCCAGGCAGCUACGGGAGGGAGAAGUGGGGAAGAUUGAAGGAUGGGCGGAAGGCUGAUGCAGAAGGGCCGCGGGCGGGAUGACGGCCUUCGGGUUGUAAAACGCAUUCGGCAGGAGCGAAGCUUGUGGUGACGGUACCUAAAGAAGAAGCACCGGCUAACUACGUG
rnacentral:rRNA from 1 species